rnacentral:rRNA from 1 species
GUGGGGAAUAUUGGACAAUGGGCGAAAGCCUGAUCCAGCCAUGCCGCGUGUGUGAAGAAGGUCUUCGGAUUGUAAAGCACUUUAAGUUGGGAGGAAGGUCAGUAAGUUAAUACCUUGCUGUUUUGACGUUACCGACAGAAUAAGCACCGGCUAACUUCGUGCCAGCAGCCGCGGUAAUACGAAGGGUGCAAGCGUUAAUCGGAAUUACUGGGCGUAAAGCGCGCGUAGGUGGUUCAGUAAGUUGGAAGUGAAAUCCCCGGGCUCAACCUGGGAACUGCCUCCAAAACUACUGAGCUAGAGUACGGUAGAGGGUAGUGGAAUGUCCUGUGUAGCGGUGAAAUGCGUAGAUAUAGGAAGGAACACCAGUGGCGAAGGCGACUACCUGGACUGAUACUGACACUGAGGUGCGAAAGCGUGGGGAGCAAACAGGAUUAGAAACCCUGGUAGUCC